rnacentral:rRNA from 1 species
AGAACGAACGCUGGCGGCAGGCCUAACACAUGCAAGUCGAGCGCCCAGCAAUGGGAGCGGCGCACGGGUGAGUAACACGUGGGAACGUGCCUAUCGGUUCGGAAUAACUCAGGGAAACUUGAGCUAAUACCGAAUACGCCCCGAGGGGGAAAGAUUUAUCGCCGAUAGAGCGGCCCGCGUCCGAUUAGCUUGUUGGCGAGGUAAAAGCUCACCAAGGCAACGAUCGGUAGCUGGUUUGAGAGAACGAUCAGCCACACUGGGACUGAGACACGGCCCAGACUCCUACGGGAGGCAGCAGUGGGGAAUCUUGGACAAUGGGGGAAACCCUAAUCCAGCCAUGCCGCGUGAGUGAUGAAGGCCCUAGGGUUGUAAAAACUCUUUCGGCGGGACGAUAAUGACGGUACCCGCAGAAGAAGCUCGGCUAACUCGUGCCAGCAGCCGC